CAAGCAUACUGAAUGAUCGCGAAUACAAUCCGAAAGGAUGUAUUUGAGGAAAGUCCGGGCUCCGCAGGACAGGGUGCUGGGUAACACCCAGUGGAGGCGACUCCCAGGAAAGUGCAACAGAAAAUAACCGCUCAGUUCAAUACUGAGCAAGGGUGAAAAGGUGAGGUAAGAGCUCACCGGCAGCAUGGUGACAUGCUGGCCGUGUAAACCCCACCCGGAGCAACACCGCAGUGGAAGAACAAGCUGGUCCGGCUUAUUUCCCAAGGUGGCUAGAACCAUACAGUAAUGUAUGGUCAAGAUAGAUGAUCAUUCUCGACAGAACCCGGCUUAUAGGUAUGCUUGCACA
rnacentral:RNase_P_RNA from 1 species